rnacentral:lncRNA from 1 species
UCCUCUUUCUGUUCAUAAACAUUCUUCCACGACGUGCUGUGCUGGAAUCCCUGAGCCUGCUCUGGCCUGGGAGGCUGCCUGAUUUGGCCUCUCUCAUGGAGCAACAGUCUUCCCACAGAGAGUAAAGUCAUCACAGUGGAGGCUUGCUCAACCUUUACAAAUUCUAAAACCACAGGCCAACAUUAACUUCCUCCAUUUCUCACCGGAAAUCAACAUGGCCACCACCAUCGUGCCUCAUCCUGCUCCUCUUGGACUGUAAAUCAUGGCUUGUUCAUUGUAAGCCGUCAAUUGCAUGUUGUUUCAGUUGUCUGCCAACUCAAUUCUAUCAGUGUGUUUUGACUGAUAGAAUUUUGUAAACUCCCUUUUACAUUUAUUUGUAUUUGACGAGAUGGUUUGAUUUUGUUGAGCUGUCUUCCUCUUUGUUAUCCCUCCUAUCACAGUUCUUGGAGCUCACUACCCCUUUUCAGAUUGUCAUGGGCAGGCAAAUUGCUGGUCCCCUCGCCUUGCAAGGUCCUUUGCAUAACCACACAGUUUUCACUUGAAAAGACAAUAGAGUUGCCAGAUAAAAUACAGGCCCCUGCAAGAUCUGGAACACACUCUGCACGAUGCCAUGCAGUAUUUGGGAUAUACUUAUGCCAAAACUUGUUCAUUAUUUAUGUGAAAUUCAAGUUUAAUUUGAAUUAAAUAUUGGCACCCGUA